GGACCCGCACAAGCGGUGGAGCAUGUGGUUUAAUUCGAAGCAACGCGAAGAACCUUACCAAGUCUUGACAUCCUUCUGACAAAGUAUGUAAUGUACUCUUCCUUCGGGACAGAAGUGACAGGUGGUGCAUGGUUGUCGUCAGCUCGUGUCGUGAGAUGUUGGGUUAAGUCCCGCAACGAGCGCAACCCUUGUCCUUAGUAGCCAGCAAUUCGGUUGGGCACUCUAGGGAGACUGCCAGGGUGAACCUGGAGGAAGGUGGGGAUGACGUCAAAUCAUCAUGCCCCUUAUGACUUGGGCUACACACGUGCUACAAUGGCGUAAACAGAGGGAAGCAGAGUCGUGAGGCCGAGCGAAUCCCAAAAAUAACGUCCCAGUUCGGACUGUAGUCUGCAACCCGACUACACGAAGCUGGAAUCGCUAGUAAUCGCAGAUCAGAAUGCUGCGGUGAAUACGUUCCCGGGUCUU
rnacentral:rRNA from 1 species